rnacentral:misc_RNA from 1 species
UCUCUCUCUCUCUCUAUCUAUCUAGCAAGCUGAGUUUGGGUUAUAGGUUGAAGAGAGUUUUCGUGUGGUUGUUGUUAAUAUGAUGGUGGUGGUAGUAGUGGUGGUGGAGGUAGUUCAGUCGGUGGAAGGGUCGUUUUAGAAGUGGGGGCACUCGCUCUUGGGUUGGUUGAGCCCUGAGUUGUGAGGAAGAGAGAGAGAAGAAUGAUAUGUACUUGUGUGGGCG